rnacentral:rRNA from 1 species
CUUUCCCCUUUUUAUAAUAUUAGAUAGAUAAAAGAUCCUGGAAUGUUCUUUUAUCCAAAGCUUUUGCGCCUGAGGAUGGGCCUGCGUCCGAUUAGGUUGUUGGUGGGGUAAUGGCCCACCAAGCCUGCGAUCGGUACGGGCAGUGAGAGCUGAAGCCCGGAGUUGGGGACUGAGACAAGGCCCCAGGCCCUACGGGGCGCAGCAGGCGCGAAACCUCUGCAAUGCGGGAAACCGUGACAGGGGGAUCCCAAGUGCUCAUGCAUUGCAUGGGCUGUUCUUUGGUCUAAGUAACCAGAGGAGUAAGGGCUGGGCAAGACCGGUGCCAGCCGCCGCGGUAACA